CCACCUUUUCCCCUCUUUUCCCUCCUUUCCCCCCAAUUUUCCUGCCUUUCCCCCUCUUUUCCCGCCUUUUCCCCAAUUUUCCCACCAUUUCCCCUCUUUUCCCACCUUUUCCCCUCUUUUCCCGCCUUUUUCCCCUCUUUUCCCCCCUUUUUCCCCAUUUUCCCGCCUUUUUCCCUCUUUUCUUCCAUUUUCCCGCCAUUUCCCCUCUUUUCCCGCCUUUUUCCCCAUUUUCCCGCCAUUUCCCCUCUGUUCCCGCCAUUUCCCCUCUUUUCCCGCCUUUUCCCCCCUUUUCCCGCCAUUUCCCCGCCAGGCCCCGCCCCCCUCACACCUGAUUGGCCGCUCCCAGGAGGGCGGGGAAAGCCCCGAGGUUGGUGACGUCAUCCAGGCCGGGCCCCGCCCCCCGCGGGCGGGGCGGCCGCCAGGGGGCGCCGAGGCGCCGCAGCAUCGACUCCUCCCAGCGGCGCCUGCGGGAAAGGCGCCAAAACCGCCCCAAAUCGCCCCAAAAUCCGGACCAAAAUGGACCAAAAUCACCCCAAAAUACGGGCCAAAAUCACCCCAAUUCACCCCAAAACCACCCCAAAAUUCAGGCCAAAAUUACCUCGAAAUCACCCCAAAAUCCGGACCAAAAUGGACCAAAAUCACCCCAAAAUACAGGCCAAAAUCACCCCAAAAUCGGGACCAAAAUCCGGACCAAAAUGGACCAAAAUACGGCCCAAAAUGGACCAAAAUCACCCCAAAAUACAGACCAAAAUCGCCCCAAAAUACAGACCAAAAUCACCCCAAAUUCACCCCAAAAUCCGGACCAAAAUCGCCCCAAAUCGCCCCAAAAUCCGGACCAAAAUGGACCAAAAUCACCCCAAAAUACAGGCCAAAAUCACCCCAAAAUCCGGACCAAAAUGGACCAAAAUCACCCCAAAAUUCAGGCCAAAAUCCCCCCAAAUCACCCCAAAAUUCAGACCAAAAUCACCCCAAAUUCACCCCAAAAUCCGGACCAAAAUCACCCCAAAAUCACCCCAAAAUCCAGACCAAAAUCGCCCCAAAUUCACCCCAAAAUCACCCCAAAAUUCAGGCCAAAAUCACCCCAAAUCACCCCAAAAUCCAAACCAAAAUCACCCCAAAAUCCAGACCAAAAUCACCCCGAAUUCACCCCAAAAUCCAGACCAAAAUCACCCCAAAAUUCAGACCAAAAUCACCCCAAAACCCGGACCAAAAUCACCCCGAAAUCACCCCAAAAUCCCGACCAAAAUCACCCCAAUUCACCCCAAAAUCCGGACCAAAAUCACCCCAAAAUCGCCCCAAAAUCCGGACCAAAAUGGACCAAAAUCAUCCCAAAAUCCGGACCAAAAUCACCCCAAAAUCCGGGCCAAAAUCACCCCAAUUCACCCCAAAAUAUGGACCAAAAUGGACCAAAAUCACCCCAAAAUUCAGACCGAAAUCACCCCAAUUCACCCCCACAUCCAGACCAAAAUCACCCCGAAAUCACCCCAAAAUCCAGACCAAAAUCACCCCAAAAUCCGGACCAAAAUCACCCCGAAAUCACCCCAAAAUCCCGACCAAAAUCACCCCAAUUCACCCCAAAAUCCGAACCAAAAUCACCCCGAAAUCACCCCAAAAUCCGGACCAAAAUGGACCAAAAUCACCCCAAAAUUCAGGCCAAAAUCACCCCAAAUUCACCCCAAAAUCCCGACCAAAAUCACCCCGAAAUCACCCCAAAAUUCAGACCAAAAUGGACCAAAAUCGCCCCAAAUUGCCCCAAAAUACAGACCAAAAUCACCCCAAAUUCACCCCAAAAUCCGGACCAAAAUCGCCCCAAAUCGCCCCAAAAUCCGGACCAAAAUCACCCCGAAUUCACCCCAAAAUCCGGACCAAAAUCGCCCCAAAUCGCCCCAAAAUCCGGACCAAAAUGGACCAAAAUCACCCCAAAAUACAGACCAAAAUCACCCCAAAAUCACCCCAAAAUUCAGACCAAAAUCACCCCAAAAUCCGGACCAAAAUCAUCCCAAAAUCACCCCAAAAUCCGGACCAAAAUCACCCCAAAUCACCCCAAAAUCCGGACCAAAAUCACCCCGAAAUCACCCCAAAAUCCAGACCAAAAUCGCCCCGAAUUCACCCCAAAAUCCAGACCAAAAUCAGCCCAAAAUCCGGACCAAAAUCACCCCAAAUUCACCCCAAAAUCCGGACCCAAAUCACCCCAAAUCACCCCAAAAUCCGGACCAAAAUCACCCCAAUUCACCCCAAAAUCCCGACCAAAAUCACCCCAAUUCACCCCAAAAUCCGGACCAAAAUCACCCCAAAAUCCGGACCAAAAUCACCCCAAUUCACCCCAAAAUCCGGACCAAAAUCACCCCAAAAUCCGGACCAAAAUCACC
rnacentral:lncRNA from 1 species